rnacentral:rRNA from 1 species
AUUGAACGCUGGCGGCAGGCCUAACACAUGCAAGUCGAGCGGAGCGGCGGACGGGUGAGUAAUGCCUAGGGAUCUGCCUGGUAGUGGGGGAUACCGUUCGGAACCGGGCGCUAAUACCGCAUACUCGCAGAUGAGCCUAGGUCGGAUUAGCUAGUUGGUGGGGUAAAGGCCUACCAAGGCGACGAUCCGUAACUGGUCAGGGAGGAUGAUCAGUAACACUGGAACUGAGACACGGCCCAGACUCCUACGGGAGGCAGCAGUGGGGAAGAUUGCACAAUGGGCGAAAUCCUGAUACAGCCAUGCCGCGUGUGUGAAGAAGGUCUUCGGAUUGUAAAGCACUUUAAGUUGGGAGGCGUUACCAACAGAAUAAGCACCGGCUAACUUCGUGCCAGCAGCCGCGGUAAGUC